rnacentral:rRNA from 1 species
UACGUAGGGUGCAAGCAUUAAUCGGAUUUAUUGGGCGUAAAGGGCGCGUAGGCGGGAAGAUAAGUCAGAUGUGAAAGCCCGGGGCUCAACCCCGGAACAGCAUUUGAAACUAUUUUUCUAGAGGGUAGGCGGAGAAAAUGGAAUUCCACAAGUAGCGGUGAAAUGCGUAGAUAUGUGGAAGAACACCAGUGGCGAAGGCGGUUUUCUAGCUUAUACCUGACGCUGAGGCGCGAAAGCAAGGGGAGCAAACAGG